AGUGAACGCUGGCGGUAGGCCUAACACAUGCAAGUCGAACGGCAGCACAGUAAGAGCUUGCUCUUACGGGUGGCGAGUGGCGGACGGGUGAGGAAUACAUCGGAAUCUACUUUUUCGUGGGGGAUAACGUAGGGACACUUACGCUAAUACCGCAUACGAUCUACGGGUGAAAGCAGGGGAUCUUCGGACCUUGCGCGAUUGAAUGAGCCGAUGUCGGAUUAGCUAGUUGGCGGGGUAAAGGCCCACCAAGGCGACGAUCCGUAGCUGGUCUGAGAGGAUGAUCAGUCACACUGGAACUGAGACACGGUCCAGACUCCUACGGGAGGCAGCAGUGGGGAAUAUUGGACAAUGGGCGCAAGCCUGAUCCAGCCAUACCGCGUGGGUGAAGAAGGCCUUCGGGUUGUAAAGCCCUUUUGUUGGGAAAGAAAAGCAGCAGGUGAAUACCCCGCUGUUCUGACGGUACCCAAAGAAUAAGCACCGGCUAACUUCGUG
rnacentral:rRNA from 1 species